ACACAGGAAGUGGACUUUUAAACAAGAACCAUGAAGAAAACAAAGAACAGUGCACAAACAGAGUGCAAUCUGCUUUUCUUCUACUAACAAUGUGUCCAGAGAUGAUCUUUCAGAUGAUGCUGCAGAUCUCCACAGUAACCUUCCCAAACAACAACUGGAGAAGGAGGAGGAUGGCCUUCCUGCAAAGGAGGCAGGAGUGAGAGGGAGACGACUGAAAGAUGAUGCAGCAGAUGGGCAACCUGCAAAACGACUUCCAGACACACGAGGACCCUUCAUUCCUGAAUGGGAGGAGUGGGAGUGCAGUGUGCCAGUGUGUCCACCCAUGUGCUGUGGAUGUUUAUGGACAUGGUGAGACUGGCUGACAGACUGGUUUCAACAUCACACAAAGAGUAAGUAAGUCAUCAUUUCCUUGGGAGAAAAUGCUGCAGGAGCUGCUCUGUACUUGGUAACAUUCAAGCUCUGUUAACCAAGAGGCUGCCACGCUGAGCAGAGUAUGCCAGACUAACCUGCCUGAUCAUGUGAAUCUGGAGGUGCAUCAAACUGUAUUAUGGAAGUUUUUCAGGAAACAACAUCCUGAUGGUGGAGAUCUUCUAAGAUAGGAGAAAUCCUGACAGAGGAGGAGAGUCCAACAAAAUGGCUGCGUGCUUUCCAGCAGAGGAGAGACUGAGAGAGCUGACCAAUCAGAGGAAGGAGAAGGCUCAGCACCUCUGAUAACUGCACACUGAGGCUCAGACCCCAGUGCUGACUGCUAACACUGCACAGAGUCUUGGAGCUCAAUCUUAGACACACCCAGCCUGCUCCUCCAGCUGUCAGCACCACACAGGUAAUGGGGAGAUUUCCUGCCCCAACUGAUCCUAAUGCACUAACUGAAUCUGCUGUGCCUGGUAUACACAUGCAGGUUAAUCAAGGUGACAAUCCAGACUUGUACACCUGUGGGAGAGAAGGGAGGCAGAUAAGAGGCAGAGUGACCUGGCAUGGAGGAAGGAGAGGAGGACCAUCACAGCCAGUACAUCCACUUGGACUCGCUUCAGCCUACUCAAAGGAAUAACCUGCCUAGAGGUAACAUCAUAUGUUGUGGGUGUGGCCAGACAGGUAACCUCCAGAGAGACUGCCCUAUAAACCUUUGGGCUGGGCCAACAACAUGUUGGCCAUAAAGGUGUAUGGAGAAGCCUGAGAAAAAGGAGCGACCUGCUGUAUCCUUUAAUUAUGAUUGAUACAGGGGACACCUACUCAUGCACUGUAACUGAGGGAGGAGGACUCCCCUCGUCUUCAUCGUCUGUGAACACCUUUGGCUUCUCUGGAAAAACGCAAGUGAUCCGUCAACCCAGAUGAUUCCAGAUGAGGGUGGCAGGUAAAGCUAUUGUCUCACAAUUAUUGUACCCAACUAACACUUCAAUAAAUCUCAUGGGAGGAGACAUCCUGUGUCCUAUAGAGCAAAAUCACGCGCACCACUGAUGAACUGUAUGCAGAUUUUCAAAGGAGGAAGUAUGAAGGUGCAAACAAACACAGAGACUGUGUCUCAGAUUCAACCUAAAGUGUUUUGGUGGCAGCCAAGGACUGAACACUCCAAGCUGAACGAACGAUGGGAAAUGUGAGUUUUGGAUACGAAGGAGGCUGAGAAGCUGAGGAACACUGAUAGCUCAAAGUUUGUUGUUUGAUGAAACAGGAUUUAAAGACCAUGAACUGAGCUUUGAUGAAUUGAUUAAUAAAAGAAGAUUUUUUCUUUUUGUUAAUGAUAAAUCUACAUUGCUCCACAGGACGUGGCUGCUGCUGUUAUUCUGCCCAUGAACUAAAAGACUGAGAACAAGGCCCAAAUGCUGAACCUCAUGUCAUUCUGCUGUUUGCUCGUGGACAGGCUCUCAUGUACGAGGGUUUAGGAAGACAAUGCUUAUCUUAGAGGGGAUCUCACAAACAAUAAAUGCAUGCUCAUUUCUAAAAACACAGUGGAGUAGGAUUUCAAUAAAGGGUAGUGACUAAAGUGUCAGUAAAUAAACAUGUUUAAGCCAAAUUUAAUAAAUAGUUGGAUAUGAUUAGUCGUUGAAACAGGUUCCAUCUCAACUGAGCAAAACAAAUGUGGGAGGGGUCAAGUUUACCCAGCCUGAUACGGUUGAGCUGAAACCUGGGAUCAAAUUACCUUAUUAUAUUAGACAAUAUUCACUUAAGUCACAUGCCAUUGAAGCUACCAGGCUUAAUUCUGAUGAGCUAUUGGAGGCUGGCAGGAUAAUUAAAGCUACCAGUCCAUGUAAUACGCCUAUUUAUCCUACAUUGAAACCAAAUUUCGAUAGUCCUCUAAAUGUGUUUUUCUGACACAUCUGUGGUUCCUGAUCCAUAACUCUGCUUUCUAACUGUGCACCAGGUUUAAGUGGUACGUAGCUUUUAGCAUUCUGGGAUAACUGUAAAAACUGAUUAACAGCCCUGGUGCCUUUAACCAAAUUUUAGUGUAAGAUUUGCAGUAUCUGAAUAUUCUCAGUGCUGUCUCACAGUGUGCAGCUGAUUUAUAGUCCUCUAAAAGAACAAAAUGAGGAGAAUUCUUGAAAUUCUGUCAACAAACCACUGAAUAUGUAGGAAGACAGUUUAGUGGACAGAGAAAGCUAACGGCUAAUUAGAAACUGUGUUUAAAACCCAAAAAUCGUAAACGGUUGGCUAAUGUUGACAUUUUUCGGGAAGGGCAGGAUUCAGCAGACGGUGGAUUUGUGAAAGUGUGUUUAAAACUGGAUCUCUGCUGCUUCAAUAAUGGCAGCAGGACAAACUAACUCUGAUCCUUAGUUGCAGUGGUCGAUGGGAGCUGAGGCGACAUCUGUUGCACUGGAGCAGGACACAAUCUGACCUGGCAUUGGGUAAUCAGAUUACUCAAAGCCUUUCCAUCUAUAAGAGGCUAAUAGGAGGGGCUAUGUAAUGCUGUCCUUAUGCAGGACACCCCAGGAGGUGUAAAUUUUUCCACUCUAGAAGCUCAGAAGGUUGAUCUGCUGAGUUCAUCAGUGAUCUCAGAACAGAAAGCUUUAACAGCUUGUAGACCGGCUACAGGUCCAGGUGAGGUCUUCACUGAUGUGGGUGCCAAGGAAUUUGAAGGUCUUCACUCUCUCCACCUGAGUCCCGUUGAUGAAUAAUGGAGCAUGCUGGUCUCUUCUCUUCCUCGGGUCAAAAAUCAUCUCCUUAGUCUUCUCUGUAUUUAAGGAGAGAUGCUGAGAACUCCAAGCUUAAGAUCUUCAUUAGCCUUUUCAGAUCAUCAAGGAGGGGGGACAGACAAAACAGAGGAUGAGGCCCCGACCUCCACCACCUGAAGAAGCUGUAACAUCAUAAGGACUGAGUGAUGAUUCCAAAGAUGAUCAUGUUGUCCUGAAAUCUGACCUGUCCUACACUGAGUGUCUAGUUAUUACUGCAUUUGUACCAAGUUUUUAUAUCAUGUAUUCUUGUACCCAGUAUUUUUUCAAUUUAUAUAUUAAAUAUUUAGUGGCUCAUAUUUCUCACAUUUUAUAUAUCAUAUGCAACGAGUAUUUUAUCAAGUAGUCUGUACCCAAAGCCUUAUGCUUUGUGCCAAAGAGUUUCUGUUACCUAUUUUUGUGGUUAUGUAGUUUCUGAAGCUUGCUAAAAAGUAUUUUAACCAAACAAAGCUCACGCAGUAGUUUUGAGGUUCACCGUGUUUGUCAAAAUUGACUGAGCAGACUACACCAGGAUCUGCCUCAUACAGGGCCCUCAUAUUCUGUAGGUGAUACCCUAAGAAGGGUAUCAAGGGGGGAAUGUUGGGAUUUAUUUUUAUCAACCAUACUGACAUUUAAAGUUAUUAUUCCUACUUCUGUUUAUUUGCAGCUAAACUGCUUUCCACAAUGUAAUAAAUGCAUAUUGUGUAGCAGGAAAAUUUGAGGCCUGUUUGAGUUGCUCUUAUUUGUGUUCAGGGCCCUAGAAGCUCUGCUUCCCCUCCCUAUCAGUCUGCUGUGGCCCAGCAGGCCCUCUCAGACUAUCCUCAGAGCAUACUCAUCUUCUGCCCUAGCCCCGUGAUGAACCUGUUGCUCAUUAAAUUCAUGCUAAGCGGUCUCAACUCAUAAAACUGCCCGAUUUUGGGUUCGUGUACAGGACACCAGUCAUCCUGUUUGCCCAUUUUUUGAUUUAUACUGGAUAUAGGGAUAAUUCUGUCCAGUGGACCUAGCUGAAGGCUAACUUGCUUGUGUAGCACGGCCAAAAACUUUGGAAAUGCAAAUCAAGAAAGUAUAAAGCUGUCCAUGCAACAGGUCCGGGGGCAAAAUGGGCCUCAUUUUCGUCCUCAUAUCUGGUCCUUCUCCCUCAUAUCUGGUCAAGCAUAUGUGUGAGGGGUUGUAAAUCCUUCUCCAAGAGUGCCUUAGGAUGGCCUCAAGGAGGUUGUGCCUGACAAUUACUGUGAUGAAUUUUUCUUACUGUCUUGUUGAUGUAUUGAAAAUGCUCCGGGAUGUUUGUGCCCUUUCAGAUAAUGACAGUAGAAUUAAUGGCAGUUUCUAAUGAAAGUUUGCAAAGUGCAGACUCAGCACAAAUCGUAGACAAUGAAAGGGAAAGAGUAUAAAUACCACAGUUAGAAGAGGAGAGGGGGAAGAAGAGAAGAUGUAGCGACUGUCUUUGUCCGUGUUGUCCGUUUUUCCAGCAACUACUAAGGCACAACCUCCUGGGAAGGCUUCUUGCUUUUACCUUUUUGCUUUAUGUUCUUUGUUUUUUGUGUUUGUAUAUUUCUAAGUACUAGUAACUUUUUGCAACAGAGCUUGCUCAUCGCCAUGGAUCAUUUGGACAGUUUGAUUUUAUUUAGACUCAUACUUAAUCCCUGCACGGGCUCUCCUCGGUCGGAGGGAGUGAUGAGGAAGCCGGGGCAUGAUCAACAGGUUCUUUCUUCUUUUCUGUUACUCUGUGUGUGUAUCUCAGUCUUCAUAUGCUACUGUCUGUCUUUUUAACUAUUUGUGUGCUACUAAGAUGU